rnacentral:rRNA from 1 species
GACGAACGCUGGCGGCGUGCCUAAUACAUGCAAGUCGAGCGAUGAUUAAAGAUAGCUUGCUAUUUUUAUGAAGAGCGGCGAACGGGUGAGUAACGCAUGGGAAAUCUGCCGAGUAGCGGGGGACAACGUUUGGAAACGAACGCUAAUACCGCAUAACAAUGAGAAUCGCAUGAUUCUUAUUUAAAAGAAGCAAUUGCUUCACUACUUGAUGAUCCCGCGUUGUAUUAGCUAGUUGGUAGGGUAAAGGACUACCAAGGCGAUGAUACAUAGCCGACCUGAGAGGGUGAUCGGCCACACUGGGACUGAGACACGGCGCAGACUCCUACGGGAGGCAGCAGUAGGGAAUCUUCGGCAAUGGGGGCAACCCUGACCGAGCAACGCCGCGUGAGUGAAGAAGGUUUUCGGAUCGUAAAACUCUGUUGUUAGAGAAGAACGUUAAGUAGAGUGGAAAAUUACUUAAGUGACGGUAUCUAACCAGAAAGGGACGGCUAACUACGUGCCAGCAGCCGCCGUAA